rnacentral:ribozyme from 13 species
AUAACAGAGAGAGGAAAUGGGAGAAUAGAAUCUUUUUCUUCUUCUCCUUCUCCUUCCACCUCAUUUCCUUUUCCUUUUCUCUCUUUUUUCUGUUUCUUUUUCC